rnacentral:rRNA from 1 species
UACGAAGGGGGCUAGCGUUGUUCGGAAUCACUGGGCGUAAAGCGCACGUAGGCGGAUUGCUAAGUCAGGGGUGAAAUCCUGGAGCUCAACUCCAGAACUGCCUUUGAUACUGGCGACCUUGAGUCCGGGAGAGGUGAGUGGAACUGCGAGUGUAGAGGUGAAAAUUCGUAGAUAUUCGCAAGAACACCAGUGGCGAAGGCGGCUCACUGGCCCGGUACUGACGCUGAGGUGCGAAAAGCGUGGGGAGCAAACAGG